rnacentral:rRNA from 1 species
GACGAACGCUGGCGGCGCGCUUAACACAUGCAAGUCGAGCGAUGAAACUUUAACAGAACCCUUCGGGGCGAAGAUAAAGUGGAUUAGCGGCGGACGGGUGAGUAACACGUGAGUAACCUGCCUUAGACAUUGGGAUAGCCUCGGGAAACCGGGAUUAAUACCAAAUAAAAUCAUAAUGACACAUGUCAUAACGAUCAAAACUCCGGUGGUCUAAGAUGGACUCGCGUCCCAUUAGCUAGUUGGUAGAGUAAAAGCCUACCAAGGCGACGAUGGGUAGCCGGCCUGAGAGGGUGAACGGCCACAUUGGAACUGAGAAACGGGUCCAAACUCCUACGGGAGGCAGCAGUGGGGAAUAUUGCACAAUGGAGGGAACUCUGAUGCAGCGACGCCGCGUGAACGAAGAAGGCCUUCGAGUCGUAAAAGUUCUUUUAUAUGGGAAGAUAAUGACGGUACCAUAAGAAGAAGCCCCGG